AGUGACUGGUCGCGUGUCGGCCUGCCGACUGGCUAAGCACGCGAUGAGACAAAAAUAGGUCGGAUACGCACGUAGAACCAUCUGCGGACCAUUCGCGGACGCGGGUUCGAUUCCCGCCGCCUCCACCA
rnacentral:misc_RNA from 1 species